AGGAGGUGAGUGCUCAUUAAUGCUAGCUAGUGGCUCCUUGGCAUACAGUAUGGAGGUGGAAAGAAAACAUGAGCUUCUGCAUGGCCCAGAAAGGCAACGAUGCUUCUUUCGUAUACCUGUUUAUUACAAUUGCAAGCUUUGGAUGAAAAGCACUUUGUCUUCAUGUGUGCCACUUCAUCAGCUAGCAAAGUGGAGUCAGGGAGCAAGUAUAUGGAGACCAAACACGGGUUAUUCUGCACUGCAUAGUUUUCCUGACCCGCUGUUCAUCAUUUUUCAUUUGAUUUGAAUCUAAGCUGUGAGGAAGAUGAACCUUUCACCUGCUGAAGAACAUCACUCUUGUGAAUGAGAAUCUAUAUUAAAAGAUGUUUAAAUUCCC